rnacentral:rRNA from 1 species
CAAUAGCGUAUAUUAAAGUUGUUGCAGUUAAAAAGCUCGUAGUUGGAUUUGUGGCUGUCGCGUGCGGCCUGACACUUUGUGUUAGUGUUUGCUUGCGUCGCCAUCCUUGGGUGGAACCUGUGUGGCAUUAGGUUGUCGUGCAGGGGAUGCCCAUCGUUUACUGUGAAAAAAUUAGAGUGUUCAAAGCAGGCUUAUGCCGUUGAAUAUAUUAGCAUGGAAUAAUAAGAUAGGACCUCGGUUCUAUUUUGUUGGUUUCUAGAGCCGAGGUAAUGAUUAAUAGGGAUAGUUGGGGGCAUUCGUAUUUAACUGUCAGAGGUGAAAUUCUUGGAUUUGUUAAAUACGGACUACUGCGAAAGCAUUUGCCAAGGAUGUUUUCAUUGAUCAAGAACGAAAGUUAGGGAUCGAAGACGAUCAGAUACCAU